rnacentral:tRNA from 1 species
GGUUAUGGCUCAGUGGUAGAGCGCUUGUCUAGCACAUACAAGGCCCUAGGUUCAAUCCUUAGCACCA